rnacentral:ncRNA from 1 species
UUUAUGUGAAUUUAUUGGAGGCAAAGUAAUAUUAUUGGAGAGAUAUCGUUUCGAUCGUCAUUUUUUUUUUUUACCAUUGACGAUUCGAUUGUUGCUCGUCUACAU